rnacentral:ncRNA from 1 species
UGACCUCAACUCAGUCGUGAUUACCCGCUGAAUUUAAGCAUAUAACUAAGCGGAGGAAAAGAAACUAACGAGGAUUUCCCUAGUAACGGCGAGUGAAAAGGAAAAAGCCCAACGCUGAAUCCAAUAGAUAUUAUAUGGCUAUAUGGAAAUGUAGCGUAUAGGUAUAACUAUCCGUAACAUAUUUUUACACCCAAAGUCCCCUUGAGCGGGGCUACAGUCCAUAGAAGGUGCUAGACCUGUACGGGUGAAAAAAGUUACGGUAGGUUAUUCCUUGGAGUCGGGUUGUUUGAGAUUGCAGCCCAAAGAGGGUGGUAAACCUCAUCUAAGGCUAAAUACGACCAUGAGACCGAUAGCAAACAAGUACCGUGAGGGAAAGUUGCAAAGAACUUUGAAGAGAGAGUUCAAGAGGGCGUGAAACCGCUGAGAUGGAAACGGAUAGAGUUAACGAAACUUAUCGGUAUUCAACCAAUUAAUUUAGCAAUCUUAAUUCAUUUCAUUAUUCAUUAAUAAUUUUUUUUUUUUAUUAAUGAAUAAAAUGAUAUUAAUGCUAAAUUAGCAAUAUAUGCAUAGAUUGGUGUAUUUACCGAUGGUAUGCAUCGAGAACUUCAUUUUAGCAUAUUAAUACAAGUUAAUUUAGUGGACCAAUUAUUUCAAUUGAUAAUUGGAAUCCUAAAUUAUGUUGAAAUAUGUCUUAGAUGAAGUUUUUUUUUUUUUCCCAUAUAUGUAACUUUCACUUGAAAUAAUAGUGACAUGUAUCGAUUAUAAUUUUGCUUAUUAUUAUUUUACAUGUGGUCGCAUGCGACUUUAUCGGUAAAAAUAAUUGGUAAUAUUAUAAUAUUGUAUGCAAUAAAGUUACAUCUCGAUGUGAACGUUAAUCACCUAUCUGACCCGUCUUGAAACACGGACCAAGGAGUCUAGCAUAUACGCAAGUUAUUGGGUAGUAAACCUAAUUUAAAAGAUAAAAAGCAUAAUGAAAGUAAAGAUUAUCUUUGGUAUAAUUGAUAUGUGAUCUAUAUAUAUAUAUAUAUAUAUAUAUAUAUAUGUAUAUGUAGCGUAACAUAACCCCGUUCAUGUUGCAUGCAAUAGGGCGGAGGUAGAGCGUAUAUGCUGGGACCCGAAAGAUGGUGAACUAUACCUGAGCAGGAUGAAGCCAGAGGAAACUCUGGUGAAGGUCCGAAGCGAUUCUGACGUGCAAAUCGAUCGUCUGACUUUGGUAUAGGGGCGAAAGACUAAUCGAACUAUCUAGUAGCUGGUUCCCUCUGAAGUUUCCCUCAGGAUAGCUGGAGUACGUUAAAUAAAGCAGUUAUAUUCGGUAAAGCGAAUGAUUAGAGGAAUUGUGGGACGAAACGUCUUCAACCUAUUCUCAAACUUUCAAUGAGUAUGACGUCUUGCUUGCUUAAAUUUUUUAUGAAGCAUAGACAUUGAAUGUGUACUCCAAGUGGGCCAUUUUUGGUAAGCAGAACUGGCGCUGUGGGAUGAACCAAACGUUGAGUUAAAGUGCCAAACUUUCCGCUCAUGAGACCCCAUGAAAGGCGUUGGUUGAUAUAGACAGCAGGACGGUGGCCAUGGAAGUUGGAAACCGCUAAGGAGUGUGUAACAACUCACCUGCCAAAUCAACUAGCCCUGAAAAUGGAUGGCGCUUGAGCGGGAGACUUAUACUC